rnacentral:lncRNA from 1 species
CUUGCCGAGCUUCCUUUCAGUUGGAGGCUAGAGCUUACUGUCAGGCCCAGAGCCAGGCUCUUAAUCAUCGAGGAAACCAGAGGGUGAGGGGUGGGGAGGCCGUGAAAGGUAACUUUAGGCCUGGACCCAGUGUCACAUGGAGCCUGAGAGGAAGCCCUGGGCAGAACGAUAGCCCUUUGGGAGCCCCCCCACCAUGGCUGACAGCCUUCUGUGCACCUGCUCCUUUAGCCUUAUUACUCAGUCCUCAGGGGACUUCCCACCAUUCUUUGAAUUAAAUAUAAACUUCUGGCCACUGUCUUCAGAGUUUUCUCGUCAUACUUUAAACAUCUGCACAUAUCUUCCGUUCACUCUCGGAUCUAACCACUGUGGUCUUCUGAGAUCUGCAUCUGGCUUUCUCCCUCCUAAAGCUUAGUCACCCGCUGAUGGAAUGAAUGACUGAGUUCUUUCCCUUUGAAUUAGUCGUGGGUGACAAAAAUACCAAAGGACAGGAGAGACUAGUACCGGCCAAACACAUAUUUGGGAGCCCUUUUGAAGCAACAAUGGGAGAGGGGAUGAGAAUCCAGCCAAGUGAACCACCCCAAAUCCGGACAAUCUUGGAGGAGAGCAAACGCAGUGAACAUAUAUUCUGCAGCUGGAUAACGAAUUGCCUGUGGCUAACAUAUUGCUUGGUGGAGCAUCCCUCCCUGCCCCGACUGGCUCUCCACUCAACACUGCUCUGCAGACACUCCCAGUGAGGUGCAAACGUCAGACUGAUCCCCCAGGUCCUUCAGUAUCUGGACUCACACGCUUCUCCAGCGCUGCCUCUUCUCGCUUGGGUCCCUCCCACAAAGGCAGGCAGAAUCUUCCCUGGGGCUUGAAUUUGAGCAUCGCACGGCACUGUCCUGUAUGUUUGCAUAUGUUGCCGGAAAUGCCUGAAAUUCUUCCCUCCUCUUCUUCUUCUCCCCAAGUCCUAGUCGUCCUUCCAGAUCAAAUCCAAAUCUUGCCUUGAGGAAGUCACUCCUGGACUGUCUUGUUGGGUGCUGUCCAAUAGAAUAUAAUGCAAGCUGCAUGUGUAACUUUAAACUUUCUAGUAGGCAUAUUUAAAAAAUCAGGUGCAGUUAGUUUCAAUGGUGUUUUAUUUAAUUCAAUAUAUCAAAAAUACUAUUUAAACCUAUAAUCAAUGAGAUAUUGUACAUUCUUUUCUUACCAGGUCUUCAAAAUGUGAUGUCUAUUUUACACUUACAGCACAUUUCAAUUUGGGCUUGCCAUCUUUCGAGUGGCUACCGUAUUGGCAGCACAGGUGUAGUCUAUCUGAUCUUGCUCAUCUUUGUAAUCCUGUGUCACUCAGAGUUUAC